UUUCGGGUUUUUUUUGUUUUGUUUUGUUUUUUUGUCAGCAAAUGCCAUUUUAGAUGCUCGACUCGUAAGAAAGAAAAUUGUUUGCUAAUGAGUGCAUCUCUGUGUUGUAUCCAAAGUCUGAAAGUUUAAAAUGGAAAGAAUGGAGGAAGAAGAACUUCUGGAUGAAAAUGAGUCAUUUACCUUACUUCAGCUCAGUAGCAAGUCUGCCUCACCUUCCCAGAAGACUGAAUGCCCUUUAUUACAGCCAGGCAGACGAUUAUCCAGG